UUUUUUUUGAGACAGGGUUUGUGUGUGGAGCCUUGGCUGUCCUGGAACUCACUCUCUAGUCCAGGCUGGCCUCGAACUCAGAAACCGCCUGCCUCUGCCUCCCAAGUGCUGGGAUUAAAGGCAUGUGCCACCACGCCCGGCAUAACAAAUAAGUUUCUUACUUUUUUUUUUUUUUUUUUCUUUUUUUGGUUUUUCGUGACAGGGUUUCUCUGUAUAGGCCUGGCUGUCCUGGAGCUCACUUUGUAGACCAGGCUGGCCUCGAACUCAGAAAUCCGCCUGCCUCCGCCUCCCGAGUGCUGGGAUUAAAGGCGUGCGCCACCACGCCCGGCCCAACAAAUAAGUUUCUUUAUAAGAUAGUAAUCAGACAGAGACGGAGUUAAGGGGGUAGAGAGAGGGCUCAGUGGUUUAAGGGCACGUGCAGAGGACUGGCGUACAAACAUGGUAGCUCGGAAGAUCAGUAACUUUAAUACCAGGGUAUCUGCGCUCUACUGGCCUCCAUGGGUACCAGGCACGCAUAUAUGUACGGUGCACAUAUAUGCAUGCAUGCAUGCAUGCAAAACACUCAUACACAUAAAACCAGCCUAAAACCACAUUAUUAGACAAAAGAUCCAAACGCUGCAUAAUUCAAAACCCAAAGAUUGAGCGAGUCACAACAGCAAACCAUCCCACAAAAUCAGGGAAUCAAGUAUAAAGAUCUUGUGCAGUUGAGAUAAAAGUGUUGCCGGCGCCUUCCAGGUCCCAGAGUCAUUUGAUCCACGGCCUCCAGGGAUCCCCACACCAGGAUUCGAGCCAGUGGACUAGUAACCCCCGGGGCAACGCCUCCGAACCCCCUCCGGACAAAAACAGGAAGCUGAGCCCGGAAGGAGGAGGGGCUGCGCAGGCGCACUGACUGCACCCCGCUUUCCUCUCAGGAGUCUAAGGACAAUGCUGGGCAGUCUUUCCGGAAGUGGGGGCGGAGCGUGGCAGGGACCUCAAAGUCCCCAGGCCUUGACUGGACCGCGCCCGGUACUUUCCGAGCCGCUUGCUCGCGGAGAGAGCGUGGCGUCAGCGGAGAAGCUGUGCUGGGUGGAGGGGCGGGGGCGUUCACGGAAGGGGCGGGGCGCUGGAGGGGGCGGGGCGUCGCGGAGGGCCUAGCUGCCCAGAGGUAGUCUCCAGCUCCGCGGUGCUGCUGAGGAGAAGGAGGAGAAUGUGAGCCGCCGCCCGGCCUCCCAAGACGAUGCUCGCUGUCGUGGGCGCGGCGGCCCUGGUGCUGGUGGCCGGGGCGCCUUGGGUGCUACCCUCAGCUGCAGGUGGAGAAAAUCUGAAACCUCCUGAGAAUAUAGACGUCUACAUUAUAGAUGACAACUACACCCUAAAGUGGAGCAGCCACGGAGAGUCAAUGGGCAGUGUGACCUUUUCAGCAGAAUAUCGAACAAAAGACGAGGCGAAGUGGUUAAAAGUGCCUGAAUGUCAACAUACUACAACGACCAAGUGUGAAUUCUCUUUACUGGACACAAAUGUGUAUAUCAAAACACAGUUUCGUGUCAGAGCAGAGGAAGGGAACAGCACAUCUUCGUGGAAUGAGGUUGAUCCGUUUAUUCCAUUCUACACAGCUCACAUGAGCCCCCCAGAAGUACGUUUAGAAGCUGAAGAUAAAGCCAUACUAGUCCACAUCUCUCCUCCCGGACAAGACGGGAACAUGUGGGCACUGGAGAAACCUUCCUUCAGUUACACCAUACGAAUCUGGCAGAAGUCUUCCAGUGACAAAAAAACUAUUAACUCUACGUAUUAUGUAGAAAAGAUACCAGAACUCUUGCCAGAGACUACUUACUGUUUAGAAGUUAAAGCAAUACAUCCGUCACUUAAGAAACACAGCAAUUACAGCACUGUGCAGUGUAUAAGCACCACAGUGGCAAAUAAAAUGCCUGUGCCAGGAAAUCUCCAAGUGGAUGCCCAAGGCAAGAGCUAUGUCCUGAAAUGGGACUACAUUGCGUCUGCAGACGUGCUCUUCAGGGCACAGUGGCUUCCUGGCUAUUCAAAAAGCAGUUCUGGAAGCCGUUCAGAUAAAUGGAAACCAAUACCAACCUGUGCAAAUGUCCAGACUACGCACUGUGUCUUUUCUCAAGAUACUGUCUACACAGGAACGUUCUUUCUCCAUGUACAAGCCUCAGAGGGAAAUCACACAUCCUUUUGGUCUGAAGAGAAGUUUAUUGAUUCUCAAAAACACAUUCUCCCUCCUCCUCCGGUCAUUACUGUCACCGCCAUGAGUGACACCUUGCUUGUUUAUGUCAACUGUCAGGACAGCACAUGUGAUGGACUCAAUUACGAAAUCAUCUUUUGGGAAAACACUUCCAAUACUAAGAUAAGCAUGGAGAAGGAUGGCCCAGAGUUCACCCUCAAGAACCUGCAGCCGCUGACUGUGUACUGUGUCCAGGCCAGAGUGCUCUUCAGGGCCCUGCUGAAUAAGACCAGCAACUUCAGUGAAAAGCUGUGUGAGAAAACACGUCCAGGAAGUUUUUCCACGAUCUGGAUUAUAACUGGAUUAGGUGUUGUGUUCUUCUCUGUCAUGGUCCUUUAUGCUUUGAGGAGCGUCUGGAAAUACCUGUGUCAUGUGUGCUUCCCACCACUCAAGCCUCCCCGCAGUAUUGAUGAGUUUUUCUCUGAGCCGCCUUCAAAAAACCUUGUACUUCUGACGGCUGAGGAGCACACGGAAAGAUGCUUCAUCAUUGAGAAUACAGACACGGUCGCUGUAGAAGUAAAGCACGCGCCUGAGGAGGACCUCAGGAAGUACAGCUCACAGACCAGCCAGGACUCGGGCAACUAUUCCAACGAAGAGGAGGAGAGUGUGGGCACCGAGAGCGGCCAAGCUGUGCUCUCCAAAGCUCCCUGCGGGGGGCCAUGCAGCGUGCCUAGCCCUCCUGGGACCUUGGAAGACGGGACCUGCUUCCUGGGAAAUGAAAAAUAUCUUCAGAGCCCAGCCCUGAGGACAGAGCCAGCUCUUCUCUGCUGACAGGUGCUCGGCCCAGGCUGGGGGCCGUGUGGAGGAGACAGACUUAUCUGAAGUGGCUGCCAGCUUCUGCUGCCAGCUGGAAGCCCUGGGUGCUGUUUGUGCCACAGAUGAGGCUCACUGAUGUCAGGCAUCUGGUGGUUCUGUCUCGGUGUUUGUCCUCUAGGUGACAUUUAGAACAUUCCGAUUUUUAAUCCUGCCGUAGCCCCUCAGUGUGUCACAGGUACCAUUGUCUACAGCCGCGCUUCCUAACCCAUACCUCACCACAGCCGUGGCUUCUGACCAGAAGUCACUGAAACCAUGGAGAAAGGGGACACUAACUGGAGGAGCUGGCGUUGUUUAAGAUCUCAGUGUGGCCUGGGUGUGCCCGUUGUACUCUAGUACUUGCAGAACUAGAAAAUGCCAGGGACAAAAAGCAGGCAUGAACCAUUCAGUAAGAGAGAAGCUAGUGAACCUGAUGGUGAAAGAAGACCGUGUCCAGUCAGUGUUUGUGUGAAGGCCCUGUGCUGCUCUCUGUAGCCUUCCCGUGGUACUUAUAAAACCAGGCCGAACCCUGUCCUCUGUCCGGCACUAUUCAGGUCCCUUCCCAGCUCCAGGGGAGCCCGGAGACCCAGCCUUUUGGCUAAAUGUUGCAGGUUCCUGUACUUGAAGGACUCCAGCUCCUCUGUAGAGGGCAUGGUCAUCGCGGUCUGCAAUCACGCUGAUACCCAGAAAAAUGGCCACACAACUCAAAUCUGGUGCCACGCUUUAAUAAUUCUACCCAGCACGGCCCAGCCCUGUUCACGGCGGAAAAGCUCCUUCUGCCAGGACAGCCUGUGAAGAAACAAGACCUCCGAGGACGUGGCCAAGGAAGGCCCAGAUGCUAGCGGGAAGUUGUUAGUUGGCACUCUUUCAUCUCUCAACAACUGUGACACAGGUCUUCAGGGUGAAGCCCAAAGCAGCUAUCGGUUGCAGCAGCGGGUAAGGAGGGGGCUUCACCUGAGCCUGGCCUUCUGGGCGAGCAGUUCUACCUGCACACUUCAAGACAGCCUCCAUGACCCUUUUCACGGCACACCGCCUGCUUUUGGUGUGACCGGGGUUUCCUGUGCAGGCACAUGUUCUUAAGGAAUGCCAUGCACACAGGCCUGAAGAGCUGGCUCAGCGGGUAGAGCACAGGUUGCUCUUGUCUGGGAUCUGAGCUCUGUCCCCAGCACCCACAGAGUGCUUCUGGUUGCCUCAGACUCCAGGGGUGCACAAGGCCAUGUAAGCAAAGACAUGUAAGCAAAGACAGUUGUACACAGAGAAGUCAAACCUUUUUGAAAAAAAGAAACACCACGGGCUGGAGAGAUGGCUCAGUGGUUAAGAACACUGACCACUCUUCCAGAGGUCCUGAGUUCAAUUCCCAGCAACCACAUGGUGGCUCACAACCAUCUGUAAUAGGAUCUGAUGCCCCCUUCUGGUGUGUCUGAAGAUAGCUACAGUGUAUUCAUAUAUAAAAUAAUAAAUACAUCCUUUUUUUUCUUUUUUUACUAUUGGAUAUUUUCUUUAUUUACAUUUCAAAUGUUAUCCCCUUUCCUGAUUUACCCCCCUCCCAGAAGCCCCCUAUCCCAUCCCCCCUCCCCUGCUUCUAUGAGGGUGUUCACCCACCCACCCACUCCCACUUCCCUGCCCUUGAUUCCCCUACACUGGGUUAUUUAUCAAGCCAUCAUAGGACCAAAGACCUCUCCUUCCAUUGAUCCAUGACAAAGCCAUCCUCUGCAACAUAUGCAGCUUGAGCUAUGUGUACUUCUUGGUUGAUGGCAUAGUCCCUGGGAGUUCUGGGGCAGUGGGGGGUUGGGGGGAGUCUGGUUAGUUGAUAUUAUUCUUCCUAUUGGGGUUGCAAACCCCUUCAAUGCCUUCAGUCCCUUCUCUAACUCCUCUAUUAGGGACCCCGAGCUCAGUCCAGUGGUUGGCUGCUAACAUCCACCUCUGUAUUUGUAAGGCUCUGGCAGGGCCUCUCAAGAGACAGCCAUAUCAGGCUCCUUUCAGCAUGUACUUCUUGGCACCCACAACAGUGUCUGGUUUGGUAACGCUGUACGGCAUGAAUUCCGAGGUGGGACAAUCUAUGGGUGGCCUUUCAUUCAGUCUCUGCUCUACACUUUAUCUCCAUAUUUGCUCCAGUGAGUAUUUUGUUCUCCUUCUAAGAAGGACAGAAGCACCCACACUUUGCUCGUCCUUCUUAUUGAGCUUCAUGUGGUCUGUGAAUUGUAUCCUGGUUAUUUGGAGCUUUGGGGCUAGUAUCCACUUAUCAGUGAGUACAUAUUGUGUGUGUUCUUUUGUGAUUGGGUUACCUCACUCAGGAUGAUAUCCUCCAGAUCCAUCCAUUUGCCUAAGAAUUUCAUGAAUUCAUCGUUUUUAAUAGCUGUGCAGUACUCUGUUGUGGAAAUGCACCACGUUUUCUGUAUCCAUUCCUCUGUUGAGGGGCAUCUGGGUUCUUUCCAGCUUCUGGCUAUUAGAAAUAAGGCUGCUAUGAACAUAGUGGAGCAUGUGUCCUUCUUACCAGUUGGAGCAUCUUCUGGGUAUAUGCCCAGGAGUAGCAUAGCUGGGUCCUCAGGUAAUACUAUGUCCAAUUUUCUGAGGACCGGCCAAACUGAUUUCCAGAGUGGUUGUACGAGCUUGUAUUCCCACCAGCAAUGGAGGAGUGUUCCUCUUUCUCCACAUCCUCACCAACAUCUGCUGUCAACAGAGUUUUUAAUUUUAGCCAUUCUGACUGGUGUGAAAUGGAAUCUCAGGGUGGUUUUGAUUUGUAAUUCACCAAUGACUAAGGAUGUUGAACAUUUCUUUAGGUGCUUCUUGGCCAUUUGAUAUUCCUCAGUUGAAAAUUCUUUGUUUAGCUCUCUACCCCAUUUUUUAAUAGGGUUAUUUGGUUCUCUGGAGUCUAACUUCUUGAGUUCUUUGUAUAUAUUGGAUAUUAGCCCUCUAUCGGAUGUAGGAUUGGUAAAGAUCUUUUCCCAAUCUGUUGGUAUUGUUUUGUCCUUUUGUCAGUGUCCUUUGCCUUACAGAAGCUUUGCAAUUUUAUGAGGUCCCACUUGUCGAUUCUUUUUUUUUUUUUUUUUUUUUUUUUUUCGAGACAGGGUUUCUCUGUAUAGCCCUGGCUGUCCUGGAGCUCACUUUGUAGACCAGGCUGGCCUCGAACUCAGAAAUCCGCCUGCCUCUGCCUCCCGAGUGCUGGGAUUAAAGGCGUGCACCACCACACCCGGCUCCAUUUGUCGAUUCUUGAUCUUACAGCAUUAGCCAUUGGUGUUCUAUUAAGGAAUUUUUUCCCCUGUACCCGUAUGUUUGAGGCUCUUUCCAAAUUGCUCCUCUAUAAAGAGAGAGAGGGGGAGAGGGAGAAGGAGAGAGCAAGGAAGGAAGAAAAGAGAAGAGACAAGACAAGAAGGAAAAGGAGAGAAAAGAAAAGAGAAAAAAGAAAUGAAAAGAAGAGAAGAGAAAAGAGAAAAAAGAAAAGAAAGACCAUGCACUUGAGGGCACUUUGUUUAUGUUGAUAGUUCUUGGAGAAGCUGAGCGCCGUCUAAGAUUCAUGUAAAAGCCUCAUGAGAAAUCAGUGCUUUCACAGACACAUGUAAAUAGCAACAGGCCUGUGAGCACAGCUACACAGGGGAGCUGGCUGCACUCCACUAGAAUUGCCACGACGUACCUAUCACAGUGACGUCUACAGUGAGAAAUGCUGUUCUAGACUCAUUACAUAUGUAAUCAUUUAAAUGUAAUCAUUUAGAGCCUGGGCAGAAAUCUAUAACCUAUGAAAAUGUUCAUUUAAAAUCAGGUCAGGCACAAGUGUGCCUGGCUUGUUCUCAUCCCAGCUGCCUAGGAAUGUGGGCCAACCUCAGCCACAUAGCAAGAGCCUGUCGUACACAUAUGUACAGGUGUAGAGGUAUGUGUGCAUGUAUAUAGGUACUAUAUAAAAUACAGAGCCCAGAGCCUGUGAUGCUUCAGAUGGCCUCGGACUUCUCUGGAGACCUGGGGAACGUGUUAACAAAGCCUUCCCUAACCCCAUGGAAGCCGUGUGUCCCUGUGUGCAUUGGUCCUUUGGUGUUUGCCUCCCUCUGUAUUGCAGAAGCUCUUUGAGCAGGGUCUCAGUUCCUCCCUGUGGCCCCCCAGCCCCUGUGACAGUGCAGCGCUGGCACAGACAGUGCCCACAGCUACCGAAUGAAUGAGAUCUGAAAUUGAAGCAGAUGACUGUUCUGGCUGUUUGUGUAAUGAAAUAACCACGUUUGUGUGUUUCUAUGCAUCACCUUUGUGUCUGCAUCCUUUUAUAUUUUUGUCUGGAGCCCCACUGUUGUAUAUCGACAAACCUAACACACACCGGAACCAGGACUCUGGAUCUCAGGUGCUGCUCCUUUAAACUGGAAUCCGUGAGGCAGAGGUGCCGUCUACAACCCGUUCCUGACAGCAGGACUUGCAUUCUGGCAUUCUGGAUCCACACUGCUGUCCCUUCCAAGUGUUACUGUCUCUCAUUCCUCUGUCUCUGAGAUCCCUUCUGCUCUACCUCAAGAGACUAAGAGGGUGAACACAGUUUGUACUUUUCAUCUUCCUUACAGAGAAGGAAAUAAUAAAUUCAUAUUUGUUCCCAAGAAA